AAAUUUUCGUCUGCUAUGGUCAACUUUAGCCGACGAAAUUAAAAUUUCGUCGUCUGAAUAAUUUUUUUCGUCGGCUAUAGUCUGUGAACUUUAGCCGACGAAAUUUUUAAAAGUUUAGCCGACGAAAAAUAUAAUUUCGUUGGCUAAAGUGCCUUAUAUUUGCAGAUCUAGACAAUAACUCAUCUAGGAAAAAAAAACUAUACGUAGAACCUUCAAACGCAAAAAAGCCGUGAAAUAAGAUAUGACCAGAAUGGUGAAAUACAUCUACGGUUGAAAAAUCACGGUAUUCCGGUAAAGUCUCGGUGCCGAUAGUUGCGGUCAAUGCAAUUUACCUUAUUAUUCACUAUGCUGCAGAUUUGGUGUUUGGUGUCCGAUUGACUAUUGUGAUACCUUUUCGGAAGCGUAACGGCCGUACGAGUCAAACUCAUCUCUAUGCCAUGAAAUAUGGGCUUUUUUGGCCAUCCGAGUCCGUUUAGGGCUUCAAAAUGCAGUUUUCUUAUUUCUGAUUAGAGUUGACCGUUUCGAUCGAGCCCUUAACGUUGUCGAAUCCAGUUUAAUUUUUUACCAUAGACAUCUUUCGUCAUAAUGAUCAUAUCUGACGGUCGAAUUUUGGUUUGUGAAUUUUAGUCAUCGGAAUCACAACGUGUCUACUAUUUACCGUUAUUAUUCCCUAUGGGGAGCCCUAUCGUUAAAAGGUAAAUGUCUCAAAAUUUUUAUAUGGGCAGUUGCGUCUCAUUUACGUAAGAGUUUUUCAUGUGGAAGGUUUGACCAAACUACGUAAUAUAGAGGGAGAUAUGAGCGUUUUCGUGUGAUAAGUGACGAUGGAUUAGGGUUGACCGUUUCGAUCGAGCCCUUAACAUUGUCGGAUCCAGUUGAAUUUUUUACCAUAGACAUCUUUCGUCAUAAUGAUUUGUGAUCUGACGGUCAAAUUUUGGUUUGUGAAUUUUAUUCAUCGGAAUCACAACGUGUCUACUAAUGUUGUAUAACUUGUUUAGUAGGUUAUACAACUUUGUAAACCAACUCUACAUAGGAAGCAAAAUUAUCAAAAAUCUCGUGAAAUAAGAUGUGUUUUGAAUGGUGAAAUACGGCUAUGGUUCAAAAAUCACGUAAAACGGGUAACGUCUCGGUGCCGAUAGUAGCGGUCAACCCUAUUUACAGUUAUUAUUUCCUAUGGGGAGCCCUAUCGUCGGAAGGUAAAUGUCUCAAAAUUUUUAUAUAGGCGGUUGCGUCUCAUCAACGUGAAAGUUUUUCGUGUGGAAGGUUUGACCAAACUAUGUAAUAUAGAGGCAGAUAUGAGCGUUUUCGUGAAUUUAUAAACUUUAGCCGACGAGAUAUUAAAAAAGUCGUCGGCUAAGGUCAAAAUUUUUUUGCCGGUAAUUUUCAAAGGACUUUAGCCGACGAAAAUAUAUGAAAAGUCGUCGGUUAAAGUCGAAAAAUUUUCAAAAUUUUCAACCAAAAUUUUUUGGCGGUCAACCAAAAUUUUCAAAAGAGUUUAGCCGAUGAAAAUAAAGAAUUUUGUCGGGUAAAGUUCUUUAUAUAAGAGUUUUACCGGAGGUGGAUGGUAAGAAGUCAGAAAAUCCCCAAUUUUCUUCUCGGCCUAGCUCCGCCGUCAAGCCACCGGAGACCGCCACAUUUGUCCCAAAAGCUUUACCGUCAUCUCUACUUCAUUGUUGGACAGGUGGUGCAUCGAGUGGCGCCGCCGUGAGGGAUAAAUCAAGCUCCAAAACUCCGCCGGUUCGGAUUCGGUGUCGAUCGAAUUUCUCCUUCCUCAGGUCACCAUUUGGUGAGUUCUAUAUAUGGAUAAGUUGAGUUUGAUUAGUACUACAUUCCCCUAGAAUUUGGUAGCUCGAUUUGGUGUGUGUGAAGAGAAUCAAAGAUUUGAAGUUUUUAGGGUUUAAAAUUGGGGAUUUUUAUAUUUUGAUUCAAUUGACCUAUUUAGGCUUAGAAUUGGGUUUCGACUUCUUCUAAAAAGUUGUUUAAAAUGUUGAGAGGAAGAUUCUAUCAAAUUUGGUGGUGAUUGGAGGUGGCCGAAAGUUUCUGCAGUUUUUUUUUUU
rnacentral:lncRNA from 1 species